rnacentral:sRNA from 1 species
ACACCCCAUGUUUCUCAGGUCCGCCGCAUCUCCUGGGUUCCGUGGGGUCGGCCGGCCGGCCUUGGCAAUAGUGGCCUCCUCGUACCGCUGCCAUAGCCGACCGGCCCCCGG